UACGUAGGGUGCGAGCGUUGCCCGGGUUUAUUGGGCGUAAAGAGCGCGCAGGCGGCUCGGCGCGUCCCGUGUGAAAUCCCCCGGCUCAACCGGGGGCGGUCGCGGGAAACGGUCGAGCUGGAGCGAGGGAGAGGGUCGUGGAAUUCCCGGAGGAGCGGUGGAAUGCGUAGAGACCGGGAGGAACACCAGUGGCGAAGGCGACGACCUGGACCUCGGCUGACGCUGAGGCGCGAAAGCGUGGGGAGCGAUCCGG
rnacentral:rRNA from 1 species